rnacentral:tRNA from 1 species
CGGCGUGUAGCUCAGCAGCAGAGCACCGGGCUUGAGACCCGGAGGGCACGGGGGCGGAACCCGUCACGCCGGC